rnacentral:rRNA from 1 species
AUGCAAGACUAUUUCGCGGAGAAUCCUACAUAUCCUCCGCAUCUCUUCCGGAGGAGGUACCGAAUGUGCCAAUCCCUCUUUGUGGAAAUUGUUGAAGCUUGCGAGGCAAAUUGCCGGUAUUUUACUCAAAGAAGAAAUGUUGUGGGCUUAAAGGGAUUUAGUGCAUAUCAAAAAAUCUCUGCAGCUAUGCGGGUGAUUGCAUAUGGCGUUCCGGCUGACUAUGCCGAUGAGUAA